AUUGAACGCUGGCGGCAUGCCUUACACAUGCAAGUCGAACGGUAACGGGUCCUUCGGGAUGCCGACGAGUGGCGAACGGGUGAGUAAUAUAUCGGAACGUGCCCAGUAGUGGGGGAUAACUGCUCGAAAGAGCAGCUAAUACCGCAUCCGACCUGAGGGUGAAAGGGGGGGAUCGCAAGACCUCUCGCUAUUGGAGCGGCCGAUAUCAGAUUAGCUAGUUGGUGGGGUAAAGGCCUACCAAGGCAACGAUCUGUAGUUGGUCUGAGAGGACGACCAGCCACACUGGGACUGAGACACGGCCCAGACUCCUACGGGAGGCAGCAGUGGAGAAUGUUGGACAAUGGGCGCAAGCCUGAUUCAGCAAUGCCGCGUGCAGGAAGAAGGCCUUCGGGUUGUAAACUGCUUUUGUCAGGGAAGAAAUCUUCUGGGCUAAUACCCCGGGAGGAUGACGGUACCUGAAGAAUAAGCACCGGCUAACUACGUGCCAGCCGCCGCCGUAA
rnacentral:rRNA from 1 species